rnacentral:lncRNA from 1 species
GGGCAUAAAAAAAAAAAAGUCAGACUGAAUUCAGGCUCUGAAUAACUCGAAUGAAUCACUACUCUCAGCACACUUCAAAACCAUGACAUUAGCAAACAAAAGCCUUGCUCCUAGUGAAACAGCUUCAGCGUAUUCCACUGAAUGACACCCCGCCAACAAUUUGGAAAGUACAGCCUUCACCCUCUCACGAAGAAACUAGUAUGCUGUAAUGUCUGAAUCACUGAACAUCAUCAACAUGAAUUAUCCACCCCAAUUUUGCACCGCCAAAGAUUUACCUUGUUAAUGAAUCAUAGAAAGCUCGCCAAUAAAAAUCAGGAAUUUAGCUGGCAUGUUGAGUUUCCACACUCCUUUCCAUCGGCUGAAAAGAUGGUUCUUGCUGGCACUUUCCACCCUGAUAUGUGCUGCCACCAGUCUUUUAUAAAUUAUAACCACUAUGGACAGAAUACACUCCGCUGGUUUCAAAUCCAGUCUCUCGUCUAAAUAAGUCUUUUAGUCCAUGUUUGGUACACAUGGAAAAAGACUUUAUUUUCUUUCUCUUUUUUAAUAUCGG